CCUACGGGUGGCAGCAGUGGGGAAUAUUGCACAAUGGGCGAAAGCCUGAUGCAGCAACGCCGCGUGAAGGAAGAAGGGUUUCGGCUCGUAAACUUCGAUCAACAGGGACGAAAGAAAUGACGGUACCUGAAUAAGAAGCCCCGGCUAACUACGGGCCAGCAGCCGCGGUAAUACGUAGGGGGCAAGCGUUAACCGGAAUUACUGGGUGGAAAGGGUGAGUAGGCGGCAUGGUAAGCCAGAUGUGAAAGCCUUGGGCUUAACCCGAGGAUUGCAUUUGGAACUCUCAAGCUAGAGUACAGGCGCGCCAAGCGUAAUUCCUAGUGUAGCUGUGAACUGCGUAUAUAUUAGG
rnacentral:rRNA from 1 species